GGCCCAGCCUCCUCCGGCACGGGUGGCCACCACGGCCGGGUGGGUCACCUUGCUUGCCGGGAAGGGAAGGGAGGAAGGGUCCGUGCGCCGCCGCCGCCGCCGCCGCCGCGCUCCACCUGCGUCCAGAAUGGCUGCCCGGAACGUGCUGCUGACCGGCUGCUCCUCUGGCAUUGGACGAGCCUUGGCAGUGCGCCUGGCCAAAGAUGAGCUGAAGCGCUUCCGAGUUAUUGCCACUAUGAGGAAUCUGGAGAAGAAAGAAGCCCUAGAGAAAGAGGCCGGGCCUGUCCUGGAAGAGACACUAGAAAUCAAGGAGUUGGAUGUGGGCAGUGAGGACUCGAUCCGCCGCUGCCUAGAUAGCAUCCCCCAGCGCAGGGUGGACGUCCUUGUGAACAACGCCGGGGUGGGCAUGAUUGGCCCGGUGGAGAGCCACAGCGUAGCCUCUGCCCAGCGCCUCUUUGACACCAACUUCUUCGGGGUGGUGCGCCUGAUCCGGGAAGUCUUCCCUGACAUGAAACGGCGGCGCCAAGGACACAUUGUGGUGAUGAGCAGCGUCUUGGGACUGCAAGGUCUCUUCUUCAAUGACUUCUACUGUGCCUCCAAAUUCGCUGUAGAGGGAUUCUGCGAGAGCCUGGCUUUGCAAGCCUUGAAGUUCGGGGUUAACAUCAGCUUAAUUGAACCAGGACCAGUUACGUCAGAGUUUGAAAGGAAGCUCUAUGAAGGGGUAGACAACAUGGAUCUUUCUGGGGUGGAUAAAGAGACUCAGGAUCUAUUCCGGGGCCUCUACAUGGACUACUCCAGGGACGUCUUCACGGCACUGGGACAGUCUCCGGAAGAGGUGGCGGAGCACGCCAUGAGGAUCAUCGCGUCCGAGAAUCCACCCUUCCGGUACCAGACCAACAGCUUCUACACGCCCAUCACCACCCUCAAGCAUGCUGACCCCAGCGGGAUCCUGCCCCUCAACGCCUUCCACCAGAUGAUCUUCCAGCACGACCGCCUCUUCAAAGCCAGCCUCAGCCUCCUGAAAAUGCUCCAGUGGAGGAAGAGGCGGGACUUGGACCACAGCCGGGGCCCCUCAGAAGGGGAAGCCGGGUCCCCGCGUUGAGCUGUGUAGUCGCCACCUAGGACACUUUUCAAGCUUCCUAGAGAAUUUUGCCUUGAGUUUAGCCCCCUCCUCUCAGGCUGUAUAUACAUUCCAGAUGACGAAGAGCACACACCCCGCCCUGCGCCCCAUGGUGAGAAGAGGAGGCAAAUUUUGAGCAUCUUGGAAAGGGGCAGGCAGCUAUAACCUGUGGGGUGCCAACUUCCCCUUGGAAGCCAACUGUGCCCCACGGAAGAUGAUGUGUGGAUUUUCAUCCUUCAAAACUUGGAUGUUCGGGUCCAACCGAAUGCUGCUGAGAUGUCAGAGGCCUGAAAACCUGUGGGACCAAGCCACUUGAGUUCUACACACCCUCUACCAUCUGGAAUUGAGACCAGCCAUAGCAUCGCUUACUGUCUGGAUGUUUUAAGGAAUCUCAUUAUGAAAAGCACAGGUUCUAACCCAGGCAAGACCCACCUGAAGCAUGGAGCCACCCAGUUUGGAUGGUCCCAGGGCUGCUUUGUCUGGGCCCAAAACAACGGCUAGUGAGCCAGUCUGAACAGGUAAGAGUGCCCCUGACUACCUCUGUCCCCCGUUUUAUUUAUUUAAUAUAUUUAUUUUCCUUACUUAUAUUGGGGGACAGUGAGAAGUCAAGGAUCUCCGCUCUAGCUGUUGUCUCUGCUGCUUCGUUGUUUGCAACGUUGCCCGCUGCCUCUUCCUAGUGGGAGAGGCUCUCUGGACCGGUGCUCCUCAUCGCCCAGGUGGCUUCUUGAUUUCUGUGGCCAGCAACAACUCUCUGCAGGCUUCCAGCCACGCUGAAGGUUUAAAUCCUUCCAGAACUGUCAGGAAGCUCUCUGGCGCCAUGUGUCCUUCUGGACGCGGACCUUUAAAAACUGAUAAGAACAUAAGAACAAGCCAGCUGGAUCAGACCAGAGUCCAUCUAGUCCAGCUCUCUGCUACUCGCAGUGGCCCACCAAGUGCCUUUGGGAGCUCACAUGCAGGCUGUGAACGCA